rnacentral:lncRNA from 1 species
AAAAGAACGGCCACGUCUUCUUGAUGACUUUCCCCAACACAAGAGUGUGUGCACUUUAAGUUUUGACAGAUGGUGCCAGAUUGUCACCUGAAAGGAAUGUGCCCGUAUACAUUUCCCCAUCCACUCCAAUACUGGCCCCAGUGAAUCCUCAGUGAGUGAGUGGAGCCUCAGUGAAUUUCUGCCAAGUUUUCUUAGUGGCUGCAAAGGAUUCUUAAAACAAAUGGCAUGCCCCAUUGCCACUGCUGACCAGUACUCCAGAAUCAGAACAACACAGCCUCGUUCAGAAAAAGUUAUCAGAUAGGAGAGCAGAGCGGGGGGAGAGAGAACAAGAACAAUAGAGAAAGCCUAGAGAGAGACAAGUGGUGAAGUUUGAAUUCCUGAGUGGUGUAAUUUUGAAUUUCAUACCUACUAAAAAGAGGUGCCCUGGUCCAUCAAUGAGAGAGAAUGUAGCAGUUCCAGGAUUUGCUGUGGUCCUCGUGAGCGCUCUCCACCCAGGCAGUGGCCGUGAAGAGUUAGAGUGGAGAAGCCGUGGUAGCAUCAUAGCUCUGCACUGGAUCGGCAACCAGGGUAAAUCUAUUCCUCAACAUCCCCCUGUAGCAGCAUUCUGAUAAAUGAGUAAAGGAAACACCCACGUCUAUAAUUCUCUCACUCCCCUGUGGAGAUUACACAGCUGGCAGACGGACUCGGUCACCACACUCUCGCGCCUCGCCUGUACAAACUGAAUCGUCAGUGCACAGUUCAGAUUUAAGUGAAUGAAGUGCUCCUGGGACUCUCUUUGGAUAGAUGACUACAACGUGCUAUUGCUCCUCUGCCAUGAAAUUACUGACAUAAACAGACUUUCCUGUCCUGGCCUCACUCUCCUCAGUCAUUAUGCUGCUCCAGGCUGCCCAC